AGUGAACGCUGGCGGUAGGCCUAACACAUGCAAGUCGAACGGCAGCACAGUAAGAGCUUGCUCUUACGGGUGGCGAGUGGCGGACGGGUGAGGAAUACAUCGGAAUCUACUCUUUCGUGGGGGAUAACGUAGGGAAACUUACGCUAAUACCGCAUACGACCUACGGGUGAAAGCAGGGGAUCUUCGGACCUUGCGCGAUUGAAUGAGCCGAUGUCGGAUUAGCUAGUUGGCGGGGUAAAGGCCCACCAAGGCGACGAUCCGUAGCUGGUCUGAGAGGAUGAUAGGCCACACGGGAACGGAGACACGGUCCAGACGACUACGGGAGGCAGCAGUGGGGAAUAUUGGACAAUGGGCGCAAGCCUGAUCCAGCCAUACCGCGUGGGUGAAGAAGGCCUUCGGGUUGUAAAGACCUUUUGUUGGGAAAGAAAAGCAGCAGGUUAAUACCCCGCUGUUCUGACGGUACCCAAAGAAUAAGCACCGGCUAACUUCGUG
rnacentral:rRNA from 1 species